UCGACAAAGAAGUCGACGUGCAACCUAAC
rnacentral:sRNA from 1 species